rnacentral:rRNA from 1 species
GACGAACGCUGGCGGCGUGCUUAACACAUGCAAGUCGAACGGUGAAGCGCCUUCCUUUUUGGUGGGUGUGGAUGAGUGGCGAACGGGUGAGUAACACGUGAGUAACCUGCCCCCUUCUUCUGGAUAACCGCAUGAAAGUGUUGCUAAUACGGGAUAUUCUGGGUCUGUCGCAUGAUGGGUCUGGGAAAGAUAUUGUUUCGGUGGGGGAUGGGCUCGCGGCCUAUCAGCUUGUUGGUGGGGUGAUGGCCUACCAAGGCGGUGACGGGUAGCCGGCCUGAGAGGGUGGACGGUCACACUGGGACUGAGACACGGCGCAGACUACUACAGGAGGCAGCAGUGGGGAAUAUUGCACAAUGGGCGCAAGCCUGAUGCAGCGACGCCGCGUGAGGGAUGGAGGCCUUCGGGUUGUGAACCUCUUUCGCCAGUGAAGCAGGCCUGCCUCGUUUGUGGGUGGGUUGACGGUAGCUGGAUAAGAAGCGCCGGCUAACUACGUG